CAGCCGCCGCGGUAAUACGUAGGUGGCUAGCGUUGCUCGGAAUCACUGGGCGUAAAGGGUGCGUAGGCGGGUCUUUAAGUCAGGGGUGAAAUCCUGGAGCUCAACUCCAGAACUGCCUUUGAUACUGAAGAUCUUGAGUUCGGGAGAGGUGAGUGGAACUGCGAGUGUAGAGGUGAAAUUCGUAGAUAUUCGCAAGAACACCAGUGGCGAAGGCGGCUCACUGGCCCGAUACUGACGCUGAGGCACGAAAGCGUGGGGAGCAAACAGGAUUAGAGACCCCGGUAGUCCCUGUCUCUUAUAC
rnacentral:rRNA from 1 species